rnacentral:rRNA from 1 species
AUGAACGCUGGCGGUGUGCCUUAAGCAUGCAAGUCGAACGAAGAGAUGUUCCGCGAUGUGCGGGAUGUCAAUUAGUGGCGGACGGGUGAGUAUAAGUAGGGAACGCACCCAGAACUAUCGCAUAGCUCGUCGAAAGACGGGGUAAUACGGUAUGUGAUCGCAAGAUUAAAGUCGCAAGACGGUUCUGGAACGGCCCUAUUCCCAUCAGCUAGUUGGUAGGGUAAUGGCCUACCAAGGCGACGACGGGUAGGGGGUGUGAGAGCACGACCCCCCACAAUGGCACUGAGACACGGGCCAUACAUCUACGGAUGGCAGCAACUGGGAAUAUUCGGCAAUGGGCGAAAGCCUGACCGAGCGACACCGCGUGAGGGAUGAAGUAUUUCGGUAUGUAAACCUCUUUUAUAUAGUCGUCGAGGCUAUAAGAAUAAGCACCUACAAACUACGU